rnacentral:rRNA from 1 species
UACGUAGGGGGCAAGCGUUGUCCGGAAUCAUUGGGCGUAAAGAGCGUGUAGGCGGUCCGGUAAGUCGGCUGUGAAAGCCUGUGGCUCAACCACAGAAUUGCCUUCGAUACUGUUUGGCUUGAGACCGGAAGAGGUUAGUGGAACUGCGAGUGUAGAGGUGAAAUUCGUAGAUAUUCGCAAGAACACCAGUGGCGAAGGCGGCUGACUGGCCCGUAACUGACGCUGAGGUGCGAAAGCGUGGGGAGCAAACAGG